rnacentral:lncRNA from 1 species
CUGCAGUGGUAGAUCGUGGGGAGAAGAGGACAUGGAUAACUGCAUAAAUCACUGAAACCUCAGGAGGACUGUCUACCCUUCAAAAUCUGUUAUGUUAUACCCAGCCACUCUCGGUAGGUUGCAGAAAGAGGACAUACAUAUAAUCACAGUACGUCUUCAGAGGGAGGCUUUUAAUUAGAGAAAUUCUCUUUAACGCAGAAGAUUAGAUCAAGUCUUGCAGUACUGCCCUUUCUGUUCAGCAGAAGAGCUGCUCGCAGGGAUGCGUUGCCUGGUUUUCUGGAGCUGAAGUAUACAACUCUUCCAGCACCCCAUGCCCUUUGCAAGCUGCGGAUGUGGGAUGCGAAAUCAGGACGUCAACCUGACUCCUCCAUUACUGCCACUGGCUUCUCCUGUUUCAGGAAGGACCCGACUGUGCGGAGGUUCCGAGGGAACUCCUGCAAACUCCUCAAUUACAAAGUGUAACGUGACUGCGGGUCAACAUCCCCAGCAGUGUGUUGUGUACGAUGAAGAACUGUUGUUUCCUUCUAUCACUUUGUGUUCACUAAUAGUGAGAGGUUUUGUAAAUGACUGAGAAAUAUGCCUGAGUAGGUUUGGAGAGCAAUUAAGAGCUUGAGCUAGAAGAUACAGUUCUGUUUGCACAUCUUUCUGCUGGUGCUGGGUCUGCCCUGCCUGGGAGUGCGGUGAUUCCAGUGACGCUAAUGCUGGAUUUUCCAGAAGAGACUGGAAAUGAAGAAACAGGAACGAUGUGACAAACCACGUGAGCCCUGUGCGUUUCUAGUGUUUCCGCAGAACCUCAUGGAGGUAACUGCUGCUGCUCUGAAGGUUCUUAAGUUUCACCACUUCUUCAGGUUAGCUACGUGCACCAUUCUCCCAAGAAAAGAAAACUUUGGCACUCAAAGCAAUUUGUAUCCAAAGAAAUCAAAGUAAAUGUCAUCAUCCCUGUUUUACAGAUACAGAAACAAAGAUUUUGACAAGUGAUUUACUCAAGUGAGAGAAAAAUAAGAGUCAAAUCUUGUACAAGGAUGCUCUUGUAAAUACCUGUCCUGUGUUUUAAUUAAUAAGUGUUCAGAUUUCCUGCUGGUUUUGGAGUCUGGGAAUUACUGGGAACAACUGAUAUGUCUCUGAGAUGUUACAUUCUUCACUUUAGGGUUGUGCUGAUAGUCAUUUUCCAUGCUGAAACAUGUUGCCUUAGUUUAAUUCCAGGAACUAUGGAUGUUAAUUUCUUAAGAAACUUUUGGUAAUUGUAAUGCAAGCAGUUUUGGGAGUGGGGAAGAAUCAGCUGAAUCAGAAAGAAGAUCAAGUUCUGCAUGUAUAGAACAAUAAAAAUCUAACUGUGGUUAAACUAUGUGCCCA